rnacentral:lncRNA from 1 species
AUUAUGUAUUACAUAUGCAAUCCAUCUACCUAAUAUAUAUUAGCUAGCUAAUAUUUUAUAUAUCUAUAUAUUAUCUCUCCUCUAUCCAAUCAAUGUCGCCAUGAAGGGCAGCACCCCAACCCACAAGGUGUGAUCUCUUUGCAGGUACUUCUGCUGAGCCUUCCAUGGGCCUUUCAUUAGUCUCUCAAGUUAGUUGCUUCUAAGGAAUAGAAUACACUUUAAAACUCAUGACUCCAGAGUCAUGAGCCUGUCGCUGCACUUCCUCUAGUUCUUUACUCUGAGGAAAUGUCAUGUGUACAAUGUUAGUAGAUCAGGCAUUUUGCAGGCCCUUAGAUGGUGGUGUUGGCAGAGAUAACACCUGCCGCUUUACUGUGGCAGGGGAGACAGAUCCUUCUCCAGAGUGUCAAUUCAGGAAACUCAUUGAAUGCACAUGCUUCUCAAACCUGGGCUUCCCUGGAGGUGCAGUAAAGCCUACAGAAAUCCAGAAGGGGCAAUCUCCAAGUCUUCAAUGA